rnacentral:tRNA from 1 species
GAUGAGUUUAUAAAUAAGUCUUCUAAACUUAUUCUAGGUUAAAACCUACUCAUUU